UGGGCCACCGUUUGUUGAGUGCAAAUAUGGAUGACUGUUUUUGCCGGCUUCACUGUCGGCUUAUAAGGGUUAUCAAAUAUCACUUUGAUUAAAUUAGAGUGCUCAAAGCAAGUGUGUUACUUGGAUAUAAAUGCAUGGAAUGAUGGAAUAUGUUGUUGUUCUAUUUGUCGGUUUUUGAACGAUGAAAUGAUUGAAAGGAACCGUUGGGGGCAUUCGUAUUGUUGUGAGAGAGGUGAAAUUCUUAGACCACAGCAAGACGAACUACUGCGAAAGCAUUUGCCAAGAAUGUUUUCAUUGAUCAAGAACGAAAGUUAGAGGUUCGAAGGCGAUCAGAUACCGCCCUAGUUCUAACCAUAAACUAUGCCAACUAGCAAUCUGCUUAUAUAUGUUCUAUGAUUAAGUAGGCGGCCACGGGAAACCAAAGUAGGGUUAUGGGGGAAGUAUGGUUGCAAAGCUGAAACUUAAAGGAAUUGACGGAAGGGCACCACCAGGAGUGGAGCCUGCGGCUUAAUUUGACUCAACGCGGGGAAUCUCACCAGGCCCGGACAUAGACAUGAUUGACAGAUUGAGAGUUCUUUCUCGAUUCUAUGGGUGGUGGUGCAUGGCCGUUCUUAGUCGGUGAGGUGACUUGUCUGGUUAAUUCCGAUAACGGACGAGACCUCGACCUGCUAAAUAGCAAGGAUUUACAUUCCGUAAGUUCUUGGCUUCUUAGAGGGACUUUGUG
rnacentral:rRNA from 1 species